rfam:Gossypium hirsutum cultivar TM-1 chromosome 23, whole genome shotgun sequence
UAUUAAAAGUUUCAUCCAUUUGUAUAGUUAAAAACAGACAUGGUUGACAGAAUAACCAGAUAGUGACAUGUGAUCUGCCUUGCAUACCUCAUACCAACAUACAGGGACCAUUUUUUAAUAGUGGAAAUGGAUGGAAUUUUUAACA